CUAAAUUGCAAAAGUUACUGACAGGGCUUUCAAUAAUGGCUAAAGUCAUCACAAAAUUAUUUUGCUAUCUAAGAGCAUAAAACGUGUGUACAUUUAGAAUAUAUCAUCUUUUAAAUGCGUAUAUCUUAAAAAGUCAAAUGUAGCACAUGAAGUUGACUAUAGUCCUUAAGCGUGAUAAAGAUAUUUAUUAUGCUAAUGUUUUUAAAUUGGAAAGGUAGCAAUGUUGAUACGAAACUCUACUAGUACUGCCAAGCUUAUGUUUGUAAUGUUCAUGUAACCCCGAUUUAAACUUCUCAUGGGCGGAUCCAGCCAUUUUAAAUAGGGGGGUUCAUGACCCACGACAAAAAAAAGGGGGGGGGUCCAACUACAUGUC
rnacentral:lncRNA from 1 species